GCGGAGGGGGGACCUUUGCC
rnacentral:rRNA from 1 species